rnacentral:lncRNA from 1 species
AAGGAGUCGCCCACGAGUACUGAAAUAAUUUUAUCAGAUUCGCUUGAAAGUAGUUUUACAAGCAAGCAGUUUUUCCCUCUUGAUCCCCGUAUUCGUCAGCUCCUACUCUUUGCCUUCAAUUCUCCAUCAAGAAAACCUCUCCUCAUUUUCGUCUUUUGAUCUCAUACACACUUUGCUUCUGUUGAUCGUGGUCACUGCUCGUGCUAACCGUUUUCUUAUUUAGCUUUGUUUCCUUUUGCCAUCAGCUCUUUGCAUUUUCAUUGGAUCAAGCAACCCUUUUCUUGGUUCAAUUUUCUGAUCUCAAAAACACUUUGAUUCUCUUCUGUUACACUGAUUUUCCCCUUGUUUUGUACAAAUAUAAUUUCUUUUUUCAAUUUUGCCUUGUUUUCUACUUAAUUAUCAAUUGCGCGGUCGUUGACUCUGUUCUAUUUCUAUUUCGUUCACUUNNN